AGAGUUUUGAGGACGACCUUGGACACAGCCUAGAUUAAAAACAAGCAAAGACAGAGUUCACCAAAUCCAACUGACACAGACUGUGUCUGACAGCAAAUGCAGUAUCCCACACCUGUAGGCCCCAGCUUUGCAAUGAAGAGAGGAAGGUGCAUUUCCUCAACUUUUCUCUGAGCCCAAGACCAGAGACUUUCCUAUGGAAAAUGGAAAGCACUUCCCUCUCGGCUACUAACUACCCAUGUAACCUUGGGCAGCACGGGCUGAGGAAAAACAGCAUGGAACUCAAAAGUCAGAAGACAUCAUCUUCAUCAUCCAUAUCAUCAUCAUCUUCUUCGUCAUCAUCAUCAUCUUCAUUUAUAUGGGUUCAGAGUUGGAAGAAAUAUUGGAGAUCAUAUAGUCAAAACUCCUCAUCUUAUGGAUGAAGAAAAUGAAACCCAGACAACAGGAGAAAUUACUUGGCCAAAGCCUCCAAAGUGGUCAGCAACUAAGGAGGGAAAGGAGCUUCACUCCUCCAGUUCCAAAACCGUGCUCCUUCCUCUAUUCUUACUUUGUGGGUCACAACACAAAAGCUCUGGUUUUGGAAGUAAACAAAUGAGCUUAUUUUUCUUUUGUAAUUAAUUAAUUUAUCAUCCUGAACUUAACAAACAGCAAAGUAAAAUGUGCAUUUCAAUGUACAUACUACAGCAAAAAGAAAAAAAGAGGAACAUUAUAAAUAUAACUGCUCUCAAUUAUUUAUAACAUAUGAUAAAUUUAAUGUGUAGCACCCAAAGUUAUCCUACUUAUCUCUGAUUUUAAAAAUCUUCCUUCUGUUCUCUUCUGUGCAUUUUUUAAAUGUUUCAAUCAAACUCUUUUCUUUCUUUUUCUUCUUUUUUCUGCCCUAUCCCUCCCACUCACCUACUCCCAAAUGGGGGAAAAAAAGAAAAGAAAAAUGGGCUUAUUUUGUAAUCCCUUCCAGGUGAUUUCACGUUAUAGACCUCUUUGGCACAUUUAUAAAACUUACUGACCUCUUUUGAGAGUAAAGUUUUUAAAUUCAUAGAAUAGAAUACCUAGUAUCACAAAGAAAACCAGUUAUGGUGAAGUAUAGCUCUCAAGAUAAUUUGUAAAAACAAGUUCACAGACCCAGGGUUAAAAAGCCCCACUUUAAACGAACUUAAAGGUUCUCACAAAGCACGUUACACCUAUACGCUCUUGACUUCUCUGGGGCUUGAUUUCCUGCCCUGUAAAAUGAAGGAGUUGAAUUAGGUGAUGUCUGACAUCCCCUCCUGCUUCCAUCCUACCCUGAGAAUACAAUUUCUAAAAUAAGAAUAGAGAAUGUUCAAGUCUAUCCAGCAGAGGGUGCCACAACCCACAAAAGAAAUGCUUGCCAGAGAACUUGACCCUUUCCCCAUAAUCAUCCCUAUUCCCUGAGUAACUAGUACUCUGAGGAUGGGGGAAGAGCCAGAGAAAUAAAAGGGCAGGAGGAGACAGAGGUGGAGGCUGUUUGUCUCCUGAAUGCUGCACAUUCAUUCUCCCUGCCCAAUUUAAACAAAGCACCACUUUUCUAAUGUAUUACUUGAGAAAAGUAUAUUACAUCCCUCAGAAAUGGGCUUUGUUAUGUAUUGCCAAAGCUGCCUGGCUAAUCUUUGUGCAAAUGAGGCUCCAAAUAUAAAUGACUGAUGAGAGAAGGACCAGAGAGAGGGAUGGUUGCUGCCUGGGACGGUUUUGUUCUGGUUUUGUUUUUGUUUUUUAGUAAUGAGAAAUAUUCGGUUGUUAUCCCAAAGGAUCCACAUUAGAACUUUUCUUGGGGCAUUAGACACAGGUGGAUUGGAAUAGAGAACUGUGGCUUGGUGCAGGGAUUCAAUUCCAUUUUGUAGACAUCCCCUAAGUGACUUCUAAGUGCCAGGCACUGAGCUCCUUGCUGGAGAUACAAAGACAAAAGCGAAAAAUAGAUCCUUCCCUCCAGAACCUUAGGUUCUGAGAUUCAGAGCUAGCCAGGACCUUACAGACCACUGAGUUCAACCAAGUUCAUUAUACAAAUGAUGAAACAGUGACUUGCCCAGGGCCACACAACCAGUAUGAGCCUGAGGCAGGCAGCAAACUCAGUCCUUCCUAGGCUCUAGGAGAUCUAAUAGACAUGCAGGUAAAUAAAUACCAAGUGACCCCAAGAGAAAGGACCAGCACACCUGAGCUGCGGAUUAGAUUAACCCGGGCUGGGGAUUUACAGAGGCAAAGGUGCAGUGGAGAGCGUCCAAGGCAUGAGGAACCACUUGUAUUUGGAUCAGGAGGAGGAGAGUAAGGAGCAAGUUCAUGUGACCAGAAAGGAGAAAGCGUGAAGUGAAUAAUAGGAAAGAAGACCGACAGUGUUGGUGGGAGCCUUACUACAGAGGGCUCUGCCUGGCUAGUUCAUGGUUUGUCUUGGGGGCAAUAGGGAGCCAUUGGAAUGUUCUGAGUUAGGGUGUGAUAUAGUCAGAGUUAAGUUUUAGGAAUGUUGGUUGUGUGGAGGGUGGUUUAUAGAGGGGAGAGAUCAAAAAGUCAGUUAGGUAAUCUACAUCAAAUUGAUUUUUCAAAGAGAAGGAAG